AUUAUCAAGUGGAGCUGCCUCUGAUCAACGAGACGGAGAAAACAACUCCCAGUGAUUAUUUAUAUUUAACCAGCUGCGAAAAGAUCUGCUCUACGCAUUCCUCUCUCCUGAAAAAGUUGUUGCAUUGGAAGUGGGAUGGAGCCAAGGUCGACACCCCUAAUCGCACCCUUGGUGCUCGUUUUGCUCUUUGCUGCCAUCGCCCGGCCGAAGCUGCACUCUGGACAAAUUUGCUCGUCGACUGCUGACUGUGGCAUAGGAUUUUGCUGCUUAUUAGGGAUGGAGCGUUAUGGAGUACCGCAUUGUGUCCCAAGACCUGACCAAGACAACUUUUGCCGGUCGACCCAAUUCAAUAUGCCUUUGAAUUUAUCCAUGGGCUACCCAGGUGGAGUUCGCAUAGAGAUGCGAGAGAUUUAUUUGGGUGUUUGUCCCUGCGCUGAAAAGUUCGUCUGCACUUCAAGAGGGUUUUGCUCCAGGAUCGUCGUAACAGAUAAUGAAAUUACUUAAUGUACAAUGAACAAAUUAUGUAAUUUUCUUUCUUACAAAAUAAGUGCAUAACAAACAAAAAUAAUUAUACUAUAUAUUUAAAAAAAUGUGAAACUCAUUUUGAAAAUAUAGAAAGGCAAAAAUAUUG